rnacentral:rRNA from 1 species
CUACGGGCGGCACCAGUGAGGAAUAUUGCACAAUGGGGGAAACCCUGAUGCAGCAACGCCGCGUGGAGGAUGACGCAUUUCGGUGUGUAAACUCCUUUUAUCAGAGAAGAAAAUGGCGGUAUCUGAUGAAUAAGCUCCGGCUAACUCCGUGCCAGCAGCCGCGGUAAUACGGAGGGAGCAAGCGUUAUUCGGAAUCACUGGGCAUAAAGGACGCGUAGGCGGGUUUUUAAGUCAGGUGUGAAAUCCUAUGGCUCAACCAUAGAACUGCACUUGAAACUGGGGACCUAGAGUAUGGAAGGGGCAGGUGGAAUUAGUGGUGUAGGGGUAAAAUCCGUAGAUAUCACUAGGAAUACCGAAAGCGAGGGCGACCUGCUGGGACAUUACUGACGCUGAGGCGUGAAAGCGUGGGGAGCAAACAGGAUUAGAUACCCUUGUAGUC